AGCCGCUAGCCUUCAGAAGCCAAAGCCACUAGCACUUGGCGUGAGCGAUCCUGAACUUGGCGCAUCCACUUGGGACAAAAGAACCUUGGAAAAGAUGCAUACUCCACUGAGAAUGCCAGUUAGCCCCUUAGGCAGCAGCAUUAUUCUCUUGAGAUUUUCCUUUCCAUUUUCUUCCAUUUUCAUCCAUUUUCAUCCUCCUGCUGACACAUCUUGAUAUCAAGGCAGGAACUGAAAGAGGCAACCCAAGCCUCGUCGCGAGCAAAGCCAAGAUCUCUUGAUCUUUUCAAUUGGUCAUCUUUUACGAUUCUCUUUGCUGGCUUCAAUAACUUCCUUGACUCUCCUGCAGAUUAUGGUCAAUCAAACUCAUGUUAGAAUCCAGGAUUGAAGCAGAUUUCCG
rnacentral:sRNA from 2 species